rnacentral:rRNA from 1 species
CAGCCGCCGCGGUAAUACCGGCGGCCCGAGUGGCGGCCACUAUUAUUGGGCUUAAAGCGUCCGUAGCCGGGUUGGUUAGUCUCCCGGGAAAUCUGGCCGCUUAACGGUCAGAAUUCCGGGAGAUACUGCCAGCCUAGGGACCGGGAGAGGCCGAGGGUAUUCCCGGAGUAGGGGUGAAAUCCUAUAAUCCCGGGAGGACCACCUGUGGCGAAGGCGCUCGGCCGGAACGGGUCCGACGGUGAGGGACGAAGGCCAGGGGAGCAAACCGGAUUAGAUACCCGGGUAGUCCUGGCUGUAAACGAUGCGGACUUUGUGUCGGACAAGCUAUGAGCUUGUCCGGUGCCGGAGUGAAACCGUUAAGUCCGCCGCCUGGGGAGUACGGCCGCAAGGCUGAAACUUAAAGGAAUUGGCGGG